UCCUCAGCGGGUUUUGAUGUUACACAGGA
rnacentral:piRNA from 1 species